AGGACGAACGCUGGCGGCGUGCUUAACACAUGCAAGUCAAGGGGGCCCAGCAAUGGGCAACCGGCGAACGGGUGCGUAACACGUGAGCAACCUACCGAACUGUGGGGGAUAGCCGGCCUAACGGCCGAGUAAUACCGCAUACGCUUUCAGUGAGGCAUUUCAUUGAAAGGAAACCUACGGGACAGAUCGAGGGGCUCGCGGCCUAUCAGCUAGUUGGCGAGGUAACGGCUCACCAAGGCAACGACGGGUAGCUGGUCUGAGAGGAUUGCCAGCCACAUUGGGACUGAGAUACGGCCCAGACUCCUACGGGAGGCAGCAGUGGGGAAUCUUGCGCAAUGGCCUAACGGCUGACGCAGCGACGCCGCGUGCGGGAAGAAGGCCUCGGGUUGUAAACCGCUUCAGAAGGAACGAACUGACGGUACUUUCAGAAGAAGGUGCGGCCAACUACGUGCCAGCAGCCGC
rnacentral:rRNA from 1 species